ACCCUUUGCGGGGGAUAGCCCUGGAAACCGGGGGUAAUACCGCAUGAGUCCUUCAUUUCACAUGGAAAGAAGGAGAAAGGCAGAGUUUCCGAGAGGAGCUAUGUCACCGAAGGAUGGCUUUGCGGCCUAUCAGGUAGUUGGUGGGGUAACGGCCUACCAAGCCUUAGACGGGUAGCUGGUCUGAGAGGAUGGUCAGCCACACUGGGACUGAGAUACGGCCCAG
rnacentral:rRNA from 1 species